UACGUAGGGGGCAAGCGUUGUCCGGAAUUAUUGGGCGUAAAGCGCGUGUAGGCGGCCAGCUAGGUCCGCUGUGAAAACUCGAGGCUUAACCUCGAGAGGUCGGCGGAAACCAUCUGGCUAGAGUCCGGAAGAGGAGAGUGGAAUUCCCGGUGUAGCGGUGAAAUGCGUAGAUAUCUGGAGGAACACCGGUGGCGAAGGCGGCAUCCUGGACCGAAACUGACACUGAUGCGCGAAAGCCAGGGGAGCAAACGGG
rnacentral:rRNA from 1 species